rnacentral:snRNA from 1 species
CUCUCAUCAGAGACAUCCGAUAAAAUUGGAAUGACACAAAGAAGAUUAGCAUGGCCCCUGUGCAAGGAUGACACACACAAAUCGAGAAAUGGUCCAAAUUUUU